AUCGAACGCUGGCGGCAGGCCUAACACAUGCAAGUCGAACGGAGUGGCGGAAGGGUGAGUAAUGUCUGGGAAACUGCCUGACGGAGGGGGAUAACUACUGGAAACGGUAGCUAAUACCGCAUAAUCUCAGCUGAGCCUAGGUGGGAUGAGCUAGUUGGUGGGGUAAAGGCUUACCAAGGCGACGAUCCGUAACUGGUCUGAGAGGGUGAUCAGCCACACUGGAACUGAGACACGGUCCAGACUCCUACGGGAGGCAGCAGUGGGGAAUAUUGGACAAUGGGCGAAAGCCUGAUCCAGCCAUGCCGCGUGUGUGAAGAAGGUCUUCGGAUUGUAAAGCACUUUAAGUUGGGAGGCGUUACCAACAGAAUAAGCACCGGCUAACUUCGUGCCAGCAGCCGCGGUAAUUC
rnacentral:rRNA from 1 species